rnacentral:lncRNA from 1 species
GGGCACGAGGGGGGUGGGGGAAGGGAGCGCUCCUGUGGCGGGAAAGUCGCCUCCUUGUUAGCUGGUGUCCCUGCUAGCUAGCAGCCGCGUGACAAUCUGCCGCCUUUGGAGGCGCGUCACCUUGCGGCGGUUUUCGUGCCCAAACACGUUUCAAGCAAUUAGAUGUCUAGUAUGUCCCUAAUCGUAAACAAGAAAUAAAAGAAUCAUAACGUGGGGUAAACGGAAGAUCCUAGCAGGCAGCUUCUGUUAUAAGGGAAGUUUAUCCUUUUCUGUUACUUUCCCCUAAGUCUUCUGAGGUAUGCUGCCUUUUAGAACGAGAAUUUCCUUUUUUCUGUAAUUUUGGUUUCUUUUAUUGACAGCAGCCUUUAGACAUAACGUAUUUGUUUGCAAAGGUGCUGGGCUAAGUUCUGGCAGAGCAGUUAAAAAAGUGUUUUUGGUUGUUUGUCUUAAUUAUUUUAAAUAGCCCUUUCAAACAGAUACCACCCCUUUGGCAAAUGUGCCUAUGUCAUGGCGGGGGGGGGGGCGACCCCCCCCCCUUCCUUCUUUUGGCACCAUUUUAUGCUCGAUUCAUGAGUACUGAACUUCUUGGGAGUCGGAAGACAUGAGUUCUCAACUCUGGUCUCCUGCUCCCAACGCUGUGUAACCUUAGGAAAAUCAAGUGACCUCUUAACUUCAGUUAUCAGAUCUGUAGAGUAAGGAGGACUGGAUUAGAGGAUUGACGGAUUCGUUACACAGACAUUUGUUAGCUUUUCUCUAAAGGCCCUGCCAGUUGCAAAAUUCAAAAAUCUAUCUCCUCAUACUUAUUAUACAGAUUAAUGGACUUUCUAUGUCAGAUUUUAAUCUUUCCUUCCAUCCUUCCCACCAGGAUGGUUUCUGUGUGGUAUUGAUAAUCUGGACCAACCCUACUGGUGCUACUUUAUUUACCUCUGUACUUGUGAGGAUCCUUUCCUUACUCUGAUGAGGACAAAAGGCAGACAGGUCAAAAUGGAGCCAACACCCCCCCAAGGUGGGAUUCUUAAGCCUCCUGGAGAAGAGAAGACCUGGAAGUCCCAAGUUCAGGUCAUCCUUCAAGUCCUCCCAGACCAACAGGCCUGCAGACCAUCAUAUCCUACUCUGGAUUAGCUUCAAAGCAGACACCAAGAGGGCACAUAUCUCCAGCAUGUGGUUGAAGGCAACAUUCUCCUGAGAAUUUCCUCAAAUGUGUGAACCCUUUGGGAAGUGGCAUGUUGAAACACAAAGCCACUGAAUUCACAGGGAGCUGAUGUACAUGUGAGUCCUGGCGACUGGCUACCUUUGGCAUUGUCAUAUCCGUGGGAAAAGACCUCAGAUUGUCCCAGCCUCAGUUUCUUCAUCCAUUGUGAGGAUGAUGUGUAAAAAUAUUAAGUAAACUUUGAACUUCUACCAAGUAUUUGCUAUUGCCAACAUUUUGUUGGGCAUCGGACGGCUUAUUUAAACUGGAUAGAUAAGAACGAUGAGUGAUAG